UGCAAGUCGAGCGGAUGAGUGGAGCUUGCUCCAUGAUUCAGCGGCGGACGGGUGAGUAAUGCCUAGGAAUCUGCCUGGUAGUGGGGGACAACGUUUCGAAAGGAACGCUAAUACCGCAUACGUCCUAUGGGAGAAAGUGGGGGAUCUUCGGACCUCACGCUAUCAGAUGAGCCUAGGUCGGAUUAGCUAGUUGGUGAGGUAAAGGCUCACCAAGGCGACGAUCCGUAACUGGUCUGAGAGGAUGAUCAGUCACACUGGAACUGAGACACGGUCCAGACUCCUACGGGAGGCAGCAGUGGGGAAUAUUGGACAAUGGGCGAAAGCCUGAUCCAGCCAUGCCGCGUGUGUGAAGAAGGUCUUCGGAUUGUAAAGCACUUUAAGUUGGGAGGAAGGGCAGUAAGUUAAUACCUUGCUGUUUUGACGUUACCAACAGAAUAAGCACCGGCUAACUUCGUGCCAGCAGCCGCGGUAAU
rnacentral:rRNA from 1 species